rnacentral:rRNA from 1 species
UACGAAGGGGGCUAGCGUUGCUCGGAAUGACUGGGCGUAAAGGGCGCGUAGGCGGUUCACACAGUCGGGCGUGAAAUUCCUGGGCUCAACCUGGGGGCUGCGCUUGAUACGUGCGGGCUGGAGUGCGGAAGAGGGUCGUGGAAUUCCUGGUGUAGCGGUGAAAUGCGCAGAUAGUCAGGAGGAACACCGGUGGCGAAGGCGGGUCUCUGGGCCGAUGAUUGACGCUGAGGAGCGAAAGCGUGGGGAGCGAACAGG